rnacentral:rRNA from 1 species
GAUGAACGCUAGCUACAGGCUUAACACAUGCAAGUCGAGGGGCAGCGAGAAGAAAGCUUGCUUUCUUUGUCGGCGACCGGCGCACGGGUGAGUAACGCGUAUCCAACCUUCCCCUUAGUAGAGGACAGCCCGGCGAAAGUCGGAUUAAUACUCUAUGUUCUCCUUUGAUGGCAUCAGAUGAGGAGCAAAGAUUCAUCGGUAAGGGAUGGGGAUGCGUCUGAUUAGCUUGCCGGCGGGGUAACGGCCCACCGGGGCAACGAUCAGUAGGGGUUCUGAGAGGAAGGUCCCCCACACUGGUACUGAGACACGGACCAGACUCC